rnacentral:rRNA from 1 species
AGAUUGAACGCUGGCGGCAUGCCUAACACAUGCAAGUCGAACGGGAGUAGCAAUACUCUAGUGGCGGACGGGUGAGGAAUACGUAGGAAUUUGCCCUUAAGUGGGGGAUAGCCCGGGGAAACCCGGAUUAAUACCGCAUGACCUCGAAAGAGCAAAGUGGGGGAUCGCAAGACCUCACGCUUUUGGAGAAGCCUACGUCGGAUUAGCUAGUUGGUGAGGUAAUGGCUCACCAGGCGACGAUCCGUAACUGGUCUGAGAGGAUGAUCAGUCA